GACGAACGCUGGCGGCGUGCCUAAUACAUGCAAGUCGAGCGGGCCUCCGGAGGUGCUUGCACCUCCGGAAGGCCAGCGGCGGACGGGUGAGUAACACGUGGGCAACCUGCCUUUGAGGCCGGGAUAACACCGGGAAACCGGUGCUAAUACCGGAUACGUCCUCUUUCGCGCCUGCGAGAGGGGAGAAAGACGGUCUUUAAGGCCGUCGCUCAAAGAGGGGCCCGCGGGGCAUUAGCUGGUUGGUGGGGUAAGGGCCUACCAAGGCGACGAUGCGUGGCCGACCGGAGAGGGUGAUCGGCCACACUGGGACUGAGACACGGCCCAGACUCCUGCGGGAGGCAGCAGUAGGGAAUCAUCCGCAAUGGGCGAAAGCCUGACGGUGCAACGCCGCGUGAGUGAGGAAGGUUUUCGGAUCGUAAAGCUCUGUUGUGAGGGAAGAACAGCUUCCGGAGGAAAUGCCGGAGGUUUGCCGGUACCUCACCAGAAAGCCCCGGCUAACUACGUGCCAGCCGCCGCGGUAAAAC
rnacentral:rRNA from 1 species